rnacentral:lncRNA from 1 species
ACUUAAAGACCAUCGGAUUUUUUUUUUUUUUUUAAUUAUUAUACUGUAUAUUCGUACCGUCCGUAUUUGAAUAUAGUUCGAAAAACAAAUUUUUAGCAUAGUUACCUUUAUCAAACUUAUUUGAGAUUGAAAACAUUUAUUUAACUAUUUGAUCAAGUUAACGAAGAUGGAUCCUUUUAUAUUAAAAAUCGAAGUUUUAGAAAAAAAUCUACGGCAUUCGAGUCUUUCAGGCUUGUUGCAUUCUCAUAUAUUAUUAUUAUUAUUGCAGGAUGGUCGGACUUAAUAUUUAUGGAACUGUAUAUAUAAAAUUAUUAAAGCCAUUUGACUGGCGAUACGCGAACUAAUUUGGGAUUCAAGCCUUGGGUUCGAAUGCUUCAACAUGAGCAGGUCCAUAGUUUAAUCCAAAAUUUAACCAAUCUAGUCUUCUGUCUUCUCUUCAUGAUAAGACUUUAUUGUACAGUCAUGUGUCCCUUUUUUUUGGUACAUGUUAAAAAAAAAAAAAAAAUAUGUUGUAUCAACAAUUCAAAUGAAAACAGUAUUUUUAGACUGAAGAUUAUAAUAAAAAGAAUGAUUCAUUUUAAAAAAAAAAAAAAAAAAAAAAAAAAAAAAAAA